rnacentral:rRNA from 1 species
UACGUAGGGUGCAAGCGUUGUCCGGAAUUAUUGGGCGUAAAGAGCUUGUAGGCGGUUUGUCGCGUCUGCCGUGAAAGCCCAGGGCUUAACCCUGGGUCUGCGGUGGGUACGGGGCAGACUAGAGUGUGGUAGGGGAGACUGGAAUUCCUGGUGUAGCGGUGAAAUGCGCAGAUAUCAGGAGGAACACCGGUGGCGAAGGCGGAUCUCUGGGCCGAUACUGACGCUGAGGAGCGAAAGCGUGGGGAGCGAACAGG